rnacentral:lncRNA from 1 species
GGGCUACCCCCACUUUGCCAUUUUUGAAGCCGUGGUUUCUUUGUCUCUAGAUCAGCCUAAGACUUGAAUCUGGGAGAGAAAUGUCAAGGUUCUGAGAAGUUGAUUUUGAGACAAGCCAGAGAUUCUUGGGAUCAUUAUGAGGAACGAGAGAAAGGGGUUUCCGAUUGCCGUAGGAGUUUAGGACAGGUCCAGAAAAGGAUUUCUGGGGGUGGACAGGGGGCCGGGGAGAGGAAUGUGGCCCUUGGAAUGAGGGCUGAGCUGGGGUGUGGGGCCUCUUUAGGAGUUUCGAAUGCAGAGGAGAUUCUUGGCUGCGUGGGCCUGGCCUGGGUGCCGGCAUUGGACAGCCUGCUGGUGAUUUAAGGUGGCUCCAGAAACGAGCAGGGGCUGGUGGCUGGUGCAGCCGAGCGCAGGACUGGUCCUGCUUGAUGGGUACAGGAGCAGACACUGUCACCCCAACCCCACUCAGCCAGAUCCCGGCCCCACUGCUCCAGCUUGGCCUGGCCUGCCUGAACCAGCCACUCCUGAGCGGGCCGCUGUCAGGGGAGAAGGGUCUGCUCAGGAUGAGACAGUGCUCCCAUUCCCACCGAGUGUUCCAGUCGGGGGGAGGCAGAAACCUUCCAAGCUUCCUCCUGGGGAGGCCUGUGCUUGGAAUUUUCUUCAGAAGAGGGUGGGCCACUCACGGCUUCCUGGCCACUGUGGCGAGCCUCUGUGGAUGGGGGAAGUCAGACUCCUAAAGGAGAGCGAGGGGAACAACUGAGUGCUUGCUGUGUACACGGCACCUGCACCGGUUAUCCAUCCUGCCGAUAAGCAGAAAAGGUGGAUCAUAUUAGCAUGCUCAUUUUAUAGGUAAGGACACUGAGGCUCAGAGAGGUGCAGUGACUUGCCCUAGGUCACACAGAGUAUGGGAGCAGCCAGAUCAGUGACUCUACCACCAGGGCCUGGCCCCUGCCUGCACACCUGCCUCUAGGGACGCUUCUCUUCAGGAGAAAUUUCACCCUCCCAAGAAGUCCUCUUUCUCUAACCUGCCUUCUUGUGUGGAAGCUGGGCACCCCGCUAGCUGGGUUCCUUGCCCUUGGGAUGGCACGCAGGCCAAGCGAUGCUGGUGGGGGUGCCCAGGGCACAGAGGGCGGGGGCCCUGUCCCUCAAGCCAGCCUAACUGCUGUGUGACUUCGGGCCGCUACCGCGCGUCUCUGGGCCUCACUUUUUCCACCUCUCCCUUAGGGGAAGCCCCGGGUAAAUUUAAGUAUAACCCAGCUCCAGGUUUGCCGCCUCGGAAGGGGUUAGCCAGGCCACAAAACCCUCCCCUGCAAAACAGCUCCCCGAGCCCGGUCGCCCCGCCGCAGGCCGGAUUAUGUAACGGGGUGUGCGGCCCGGGGGUGGG